rnacentral:tRNA from 1 species
GAGGGUAGAGCUCAGUGGCAGAGCACCUGCCUAUCAGGCACAAGGUCCUGGGUUCAAUCCCCGGUACCUCCA